ACUUUUUAACAUACUACCCUGAAUAUACCUGAUUUCAUCUCAUUUCAGAAAGUAAGCAUAGUUGGUUCUGGUUAGUUCUUGAAUGGACCACCAGGGAAUACCAGGGAUACUCAAGCC
rnacentral:rRNA from 1 species